rnacentral:rRNA from 1 species
AGAGUUUGAUCCUGGCUCAGAACUAACGCUCGUGGCGUGUCUUAGUCAUGCGAGUCGAACGAGAAAGCCCCCUUCGGGGGGUGAGUAGAGUGGCGAACGGGUGAGUAACACGUGGGUAACCUGCCUCCAUGUUGGGGAUAACACUUCUAACGAGGUGCUAAUACCGAAUGACAAGACGGGGCAUAUGCCUUCGUCUUCAAAGGUGGCCUCUGCUUGCAAGCUGCCGCACGGAGAUGGGCCCGCGUCGUAUUAGCUAGUUGGUAGGGUAAUGGCCUACCAAGGCGAUGAUGCGUAGCCGGCCUGAGAGGGUGAACGGCCACACUGGAACUGAGACAAGGUCCAGUCCCCUACGGGGGCCAGCAGUCUAGAAAUUUGCACAAUCGACGAAAGUUGGAUGCAGCGACGCCACGUGGAGGAUGAAGCCCUUCGGGGUGUAAACUCCUGUCAGAAGGGAAGAAGGCGCGGCCGUUAAUACCGGUCGCUGCUUGACGGUACCUUCAAAGGAAGCUCCGGCUAACUACGUGCCAGCAGCCGCGGUAAUACGUAGGGAGCGAGCGUUGUUCGGAUUUACUGGGCGUAAAGGGCAGGUAGGCGGGCGUGUUAGUCGGUUGUGAAAUCCUCUGGCUCAACUAGAGAAUGGCAGCCGAAACUGCACGUCUUGAGUCCAGCAGAGGGAAUCGGAAUCCUAGGUGUAGCGGUGAAAUGCGUAGAUAUCUAGGAGAACACCAGUGGCGAAGGCGGAUUCCUGGGCUGGUACUGACGCUGAGCUGCGAAAGCGUGGGGAGCGAACAGGAUUAGAUACCCUGGUAGUCC